GACGCGACAAGCUGGAUGUCCAUAGGUCGGCCAUCCAAAGGGACGCCCUUGUACUGCUUCAGAGCCUUCAGGGCAUCUGCCCUCCGUUCAAAGUGCACAUCCGCCGUCCCUAAACUUCGCCCAGAGCGAUCGUAGUCCACAGCGGCUUUUUUCAACGUUCCAAAUUCAGCGAAGAGUUCCUGAAUGUCAGCAUCUGACACCCCGAAGUCCAGGUUUGAGACGAGCAGCUUGGCACCGGUCUCCACGCCUUCCCCGCCCCCGAAGCCGCUGUCGAAUAGGUCGUGCUGCCACUUGUCCGGAAGUGGUUUCGGUCUGCUGUACGGUGCCGGCCGGUUCCGGCCGCCGCGGGCGAUGGCGGGCCGGCUCCUCCUAGGCCCGCCGCCUCGGUUCACCCGGCGCUGGCUCCGGUUCAGCUUAAUGAUGUCGUCCAAAGACAUGUCCAUCUUGUCGGCCAUGGCGGGCGCGGAUCCCGGCCUGCCCGGCCCGGCCCUCGCUGUGCAGACCAGAUAGGACUCAAAUUCAACGCGUCCCCCGCCUUGACUCCGCCCCUCCUACCGGCGCUGGAAUCGCAAGCGCACCAGAAUCACACUUGGAAACUGGAAGUCCGUGCGCUUGUGAAUCUGGCUUCCGCUCUGACCCCUGGUGGCCGCCCAGCGCCUAGCGACGUCUGGGACAAACCCAAGGCACUUCCGGAAACCGAGCCGGCCACGCGGCUUCUCGGCGAUAUUUGCAUACCCACAAUGCAGUGCACACAGAUGGUUACAUAAUUUAAAAGGGUCAUGUGUUUUCUUCGUUGUUCUGUUUUAUUCCUUCUAUCCCUUAAUGUGACAGACGCUUGAAAGAUUUAUCUGAUAUAAAUAAAGUAGUCACUGUCUUUGGGAGUAAAUAGUCACCAUUAGCGGUCUAGGAGAUCCAGGCGGCCGAGAACUGUACACUGGCGCAGCUUAGGCAUACUCUGGUUUCUCUUCAGAUCGUAUAAAUCUUUCGCCUUUUACUAAAGAUUUCCGUGGAGAGGAACAAUUCUGAGUCUUAAACCAAUUUUUUGAGGCCUUGCUUUGGUAAGGCUACCAAUACAGUUAAAAAUUAGACUUUACAGAUGUUCUUGCUGCUUGUGCUAUGUGGUUUUACGUCUCUUCCAUCCACGGGCUUUCGGUAUUGGCCACUGUGGAUUAAUAUUUUAUUAAAGUGCAAGGUGGUUAGGGACUUAAGGCGGGUACAGUUUUCUAGCACUUGCAAGAUGGCUAACCCAGCUCUGUAGCUCAGGAAGAACGAGCGCCCCCUUCUGGCUUCCAUCAGCACCAGGCAAUGCUCAGAUACACAGGCAAAAUAUUCAUACAAAUAAAAACAUUCUAAUAAAUAAAUGCAGGAGCCACUCAAGCAGAGGGGGCAAGUUACCCUCAGAACUGUGGGAGGGACUAGCCUAGGAUGCAAUUCCCCAUCUCACCCCACCCCCCAAAAAAUGGAAAUUACCAUCAACUAGAGCCUAUUCUCCCACCCAAGUCCUUUCCCUUAGGGACAGAGACUGUCCCUUUGAAAUACCUCAGAAAUAAGAUCAGGUAACAAAGUGGCAGGAACCUCAAACACAGAAUGCCCUUGGUUGGCUUGGCAAAGCAUCUUUGGUUCUGGAAAGGAAGUUGGUUUGAAGUUUCUCUCUGCCUGCAACAGACUUAAAAACAGGGUGGAAAUGGAAAGGCUCUUGGAUGUCUCCUGAAUGGGCUACUGCACUGACCAGUUCUUUGAUCACCUCACGCCUCACUUCUGUUUCUACAAAAAUUCCCUGGGAUAAGCGCUCGGCAGUGCCCCAUCUAGGGCCCACUUCUGCUGGAUAGGAGCUCUGCUUGGUUUCUCACAACUCCCACCUGAAACCCUAUAACAAAACUCCCUUCUAACCUCUAGGGAAUUCCUUGCAAAACAAAGGACCUGGAAGCCAAUGGUUUUGGUGCCUCUUGUGGCCAUUGGAUAGUCAGGUACCUUAACACUCUGAGCUAUCCACGACUGAAGCAAGAAAGUUGUCGUUUCCAAAGAUACCCCACUUUUCUUUAUCAUCAAUAGACGGGGAGUACAGGGAGUUCACUGUCCAGCCUGGGAUACCAGCCUAAAAGAAAAAUAAAUAAAAUAAGAACAGAAUGGACAUACCAUGGAUAGCCUAACUUGUCCGGCAGAGAACCAAAGAGUGUUCAUAAUUGCAUCACUUGCUUUCCUGUUGCUGUGAUAACAAAAACCAAAGAAAAGUUCAUUUUGGCUUAGAAACCCAGAGGGAGNNNNNNNNNNNNNNNNNNNNNCCACAACCGUAGGGGGAUGGAUCGGAAAGCAGAUCACAUCUUCACCUCUCAGAGCCCACCCCCCCAAUCGACAUCCUUCUGCCAACAGUCAGACCGGAAGGUUCUGUAUCACUCCCCCACCCAGCACCACUAACUAGAGAUCAAGUGUUCACGCGCCCAAGCUCACCGUAGACAUUUCUCCCUCAAUCCACCACAGUAAAGGAAUAUGAUUCUUCUGUGGAGAAUUGCAGGCUUGUUUUAAGGUUUACAAAUUCAUGAUAGCCGAGUACUUUGUACACUAUAACACAUGGAGAACAUGUUAGAUACAUAUUUAGCUUUUUAAGUGUUGGGCUCACCGCCUGCUCCUGAUCCAUGAAUAAAAUAUAAUUGAAGGAAAACCAAAGCAAGACUUUUUGCUUGGGAGAAGAGGGGCCAGGUGACAGAAAGGAACACCGUAGGUCAGAGAACACCACCGCUAACCCAAGGUCCAUUCUACACAUUUUAGGUAGGAUUUCCGUUGCUAUGAUAAAACACCAUUAAUCAGGAUUCUCUAGAGACGCAGAAAUCACACAGGAUGUCUCUAUAUAUUAAGGGAAUUUGUUGUGAUAACAAUGGGCAGCUGUGAAUUGGAAGUCCAAGAAUCUAGUGGUAGCUCAGUUCCACGAGGCUAGAUAUUCAAGCUGGUCUUCUGUAGAAAUAGGUUCCAAUAGAUGUGCUAACAAGAGCAAGCAGUUGAAGAACAGUGAGUCUUCUCUUUUCC
ensembl:antisense